rnacentral:rRNA from 1 species
CCUACGGGAGGCAGCAGUGGGGAAUAUUGGACAAUGGGCGAAAGCCUGAUCCAGCCAUGCCGCGUGUGUGAAGAAGGUCUUCGGAUUGUAAAGCACUUUAAGUUGGGAGGAAGGGCAUUAACCUAAUACGUUAGUGUUUUGACGUUACCGACAGAAUAAGCACCGGCUAACUCUGUGCCAGCAGCCGCGGUAAUACAGAGGGUGCAAGCGUUAAUCGGAAUUACUGGGCGUAAAGCGCGCGUAGGUGGUUUGUUAAGUUGGAUGUGAAAUCCCCGGGCUCAACCUGGGAACUGCAUUCAAAACUGACUGACUAGAGUAUGGUAGAGGGUGGUGGAAUUUCCUGUGUAGCGGUGAAAUGCGUAGAUAUAGGAAGGAACACCAGUGGCGAAGGCGACCACCUGGACUAAUACUGACACUGAGGUGCGAAAGCGUGGGGAGCAAACGAGGAUUAGACUACCCUGGUAGUCCACGCCGUAAACGNUGUACACUGCGUUGGUAGCUGNGCUCUAGUGCGC